GCUUUCUUGCUCUGAUAUUUCUUCUAGGAAAUGGCUUUCUAUGAUCCUUCUAUAAAGUUAUAGAAGGAUCAUAGAAAUAGAUAUAGAUCUAUGAUCCUUCUAUAAAGCACACACUGGCUCUACAUAGCUAAUAAAAUAUUUGCUCAUUUGUCUUUUCAGCAAGAACUAUAAUGUUUAGAAGCCUUAAUAAUUACAAUCCUAAAACAUUACUUUUGUUAUGAAGAAGGUACUACUUACAUUCUCUUUAUUAAACUGAAGGUAUUUAAUCUAUCAGAGAGGAGUCGGAUAGAAUUGUUAUGGGGGACUAGAAUUAAACUGCCCACAUAGCGUCUCUGAGAACUGGCACACUGAUUAUCAAGACAGAAUCUAAGAUUUACAGUGGGCUAUAUUUUCUUAUGUAUAAUUUGAACAUCAGACCACAAUCACUUCCUUAAAAGCACUGACCUUUGAAAAACCAAACUUUCAGAAAAGCUGCCAAAACACAGAAGCAAAGUGACACUGAGAUUAAAGGAUAUUAUUUAUAGCUAACUCUUUCUAUUGACUAUUCACAAGUUAGAGGUAUUAUUCCUUCAAGACAACUCACACAGAAAUGCAUGCAAGACCAGUAGUACUUGCCAUAUUAAAUAAGAUCAGUAUACCAUCUAGUUCAGCAUCCUGACAUGGACUUCUAUUUUAUUGUUCAUACAAAUACCAAAUCCUCUCAAUAUGUGGAAGGUUGGCUUUCAGUUAUGUCUAUGUAUGGGGAUUUUUUUUCCUAAAAAGUUUUUUACUGUCUUAUGACUUGGAGAACUUCAGUUGUUGUGAGUUUACAUAAAUAUAUAAAAUACCUCUACCUGUUUGGAUGUAAUUUUGAAUGUCCCUCUAUUCUACAAAACUGCUUAUUUAAAAAAUUAAUUUAGUAUGCUUUAACCUUUCUAUGCUGAUUUUGUUGCAGAGAGUCAUACAGGUCAACUAUGGGCUCAAUAAAAUAUUUACUCUUCCAUUUGCUAUCUUCCAAGUUAGACUUCUGUUAUUCAGUCUUUCUAAAAUGACUUGGUCAUGACUCCUCUAUUUUUUUCAUUGGUUUCUAUCUCUCUUGCUUGAUUCCCUCUUACUUAUUUUCAUGUUCAAUCUUCCCUGUAUCUAAUUGUUCCUGUUACAUCACUUUGCAGAGAAAUACUAGAAUUGAUCACUGUAUUCCAGGUAAGUGAUAUCUUCUCCAUUUUGAUAUACCACCAUACUUUGUUUUGCACAGUCUCUAAGUAGCUUACAACAAUGUCCAACUUCUAGAAGACUACAUCAAACCCAGCACUGUGUUCAACCAUUCCAUGCUAUUCUUACACUCUGCAUCAGCAUCCAGCACCAACAGGUACCAAGCUUUCUCCUUUAACCUUUCUCACAUACUGCUUUUGACCAAUCUAAGUAGUUGUAUAGCACCACUGCUUUGUCUCUUCAUAAUUCAGUGGACACCCUCCACACAGGAGUCCCCAGAGGUUUGGUGUUGUCUGUUUCUGUCAGGUGCUCUUCUUCUUCAUAUCAGGUGUUUUGCCAAACCACUGCUCCUUCAGAUUUCCCUAGGUCCAGGUGACCUGUUGCAACACCGAGCUCCUCAGGGAGGGGAGGGAGAUACUCUCAGCGUCCUCCCCAUAUACAUUCACCCAGCUGGCAGAGUACCCAACCCAACCAUGGUGGCACAACACUACAAAUAUGCACACCCUUUUGCUGGUUUGAGUCAGUAUCCCUGAGGAGCAGUCUGCCCUUUCAAGUCUGCUCACAAUCUCAAAACGCUCCAAAAGAUGAAGGGAAUUACGUGCUACAUUAUAAAGUUAUGCAAAAGUCCUUCAUUCAACCCAAGCAUAAUAUAACUCACUGAAAUAUGAUGAAGACCAAUGAUAACAUUUACAUCGAUUUUACACAGUUCUUUUUAUAAACCUUUGAAAUUUUCUAUGUGUUUAAACAAUGAAAUAUACCCUUCUUCAUAACUGGUCUAUAAUCCUCUUAGACAAAAGGGAAAUGUCAGUUGAUGGUAGAGCCACGUGGCAGAGAUCACAAAUACGUUUCAAUUACUUUUUCCAUUGCAAGGAGAAACACAACAGUAACCAAAGCGAUCAGAAACCUGCCUUACAAAAAUUCAUAUCAACAACAACAUGAUGGAAGUAGAUGGUUAGGAAGUUUACGUAAAGUCAAGCUGUUGAUUAGGCCAUAAAUUAGCAGACGUCAUCUACUACACAGAGUGAAAGAAAUUCCGAAGAUAAACUAUAUUAUGCAGCAUAUCUAUACGUGACAAAGCAUCUACUCAGACUCAAAUUGUCUUCUGAGAAAGGUAUUUUGCCUUUUCUACCAGCUAUGCAUUGGGAAGAACACAAGUGAACAACUUUAGGGAUGACUAGAUACACAGGUAGUUAAUAACUUUUUAGCAGAUGUAAGCCACAUUUCUCCGUAUCACAGACAGAAAAAAGAAUUUAAAGGACUGGAAAAAUAGGUGAAAACUGGUCCAUAGCUAAAAACGUGCAAAUCAGUAGUGCUGGGCAACUAGAAAGGACUUUCUCUCAGAAGCUUGAGACACAUCAAAACAAUUAAAAGAAGACAUUUAAACUAGCUGUAUGUGAAAAGCAGGAGUGAAAAUUCAAGAGGUCACCAACACAGUUUCAUUAAACAAGUCUGAGAAUUCUGAUUUCCAGCCAGGCUGAAAGAAUAAGGAGAAAAAAAUCCCCUUUAUGGUGGGCAAUUUUAAGCUAAGGAAAACCAUUUAUGUCACAUUUUUGCUGCCUCCUCAGUUGAGCCAUUAAUGGAACUGGUUUUGUGUGCGCUGGGAGAGGGAGGAGGAAGACAUGCUGUAAACUGAACUGAUUAACUGAUCUGGGUCAAAAAAAUGAAGGAAAGUGAGGAGGCAAUUUGUUCAAAACCUAGUUCAUUUCACUAAUUAAAGCUUAUGGUGCAGUCUUCAAACAGCUGCAGUAGCCUAAUUAGGGAGGGGAUGAAGGGCGUGGCAGAAACUGCUUAAGCUAGUUUUGCCAUAAAGGAAAUCAUUAAGUCCAUGCUUACACAGUAGCAUUAGGGGUGAUUUAAAACUCCAGCUGAAGUGAUUUGAUUUACUGCUGUUUCAGCUCCCUCCAAUGAUUUAUCCCUAAAACCUCACUAGAAGAAAAGCGGUGAAAAAAUAUUUGAACAAUUAAAUUAAUCAUGAGAAUUACAUCUUUCCCAUAAUGAUUUUUCACCUCAUCACUUCUCAGAAUAGAUAAUUCUGUUUUGCCAAUUUCUAGGUACAAUUUCAGUGUGAAAUUACAGGCACUCUUCCAAAGCAAAGAGACUGCAGCAUACUGACUUGCAUGUACCUACUGACUGACUGUACACAUCUUCAGUUCCUUCUGAAAUCAUCUUCUGCUGCUGUUAGUCAUCAGCAUCUUCUGCUGCUGUUAGUCAUCAGUGCCAAAGACUGUUAAUUCCUCAGAACCACCAUCCUGCCUGCCAGCGAAGUUUGGAGUCAGCUCAGAAAGAAUCGGUUCAUAUAAUAAGCUCACUAAUGUUACCUGCUGCACCAAGAAAGGUGGAAAUAGCAUUGAACACGGUCAGUUUUGUAAUAGUAUUGUGUAAGUCAUUUGCGUGGCUGUCAGGAUCAUCUGAAUCAAAGGUAUCAACCCAACAGCAUGGAUAUACUGGCACCCAGUUUAAAGGUGGCUUCAAAACUAAUUUCUACCAGAACAGUUGUACAUCAAAGCAUUUAUAUCUUGCAAAGCAUAUAAAGGCUACCACAUCUGUUCAUACACAGGGAGGAAUAUUUCCCCCGCCCAAAGAAAAGAACAGAUCUAGAAACUCUGCCCACGGAUUCUGGGAAGAUGGGGUGCUGGUGAAUAAAAGCGUGGAAAAUGUCUGAAGAAAAGCAAGGAAUAUUCCCCAUACAUAGAUAUAUACAAUGAGAUAAAAAGUUUGCUUCAUGAUCUUACAUUUGGUAUUGUUUUAACCCCCAAGGGAUUUGCAUCACUGCUGGCAAAAAAACACUCCUCUUUAAUUCCUGUACUGACUAACAUGCCAUGCGUCAGCCUAAACACACACCGUGACCUACUGACACACUACACACCCAUUCUCAGAAAGCACAGCAAUCCUAUGUGAAUAGUUUAGUCUGCAUGAGGUCUUAUUGAGCUUGAUCUUUGCACAGGAUAAUUCUGUUGGGAAAUUACCUAAAUUAAAUAAAUACUUAGCAUCAAAAAUUUACAUUAAAAUAGUCAGUUUUUAAAAAAUAAUUUGUGAAUAAUUGUAUUUUUAAAUGAAUGUUGUAAGCAUUUAGAAGUCAACAUGUAAUUAAUUAAAAUAAAAUCAUUAAGAAAAUAUUACAUAUUAUCACACUAGAAAUGCAGUGGAAAAGGAAAAAGAAUGAUUAUACUGAGCACUGUGAGACAGAGUCUAUAUGCUACUGGCAACAUCAGUAUUUAACCUACCUACUUUUUUUUUUUUUCCUUUUUUAAAAUAGCAAUCAUCAAUGAGAAAAAUACUUGAAUAGCAAUUUUGAAAAACAAAAAAAAACACAAUCACGGAGAUCAUCAUUAAAUGGAGCAGUAGGGGAAAGAAAAACAACAACAUUCACAUAUUACAAUUCCCUUUUGGAGACAAACUUUUAAGCUCCCAGUCUCAAAAUCAGCCCCACAUUUUUUUCAUAUAUCCUCACAGAAUCAGAAUCACAGGUUGUGGUUGGAGGGGACCUCUGGAUCCAUCUGCUCCAACAGGGCCUGGCUCUCUCCACUUGGCACUCUCCCUUCAUGUAUUUACAGACAUUGAUGAGAUGCCCCUCAGCCUGGAGAAGAGGACGCUUAACAGUAUCAGCCUUUCUUCAUGGGUGGGGAUGCUCCAGUCCCUUCAUCAUUUCUGUGGCCCCACUUCUCUCAUAUGCUGGGGAGCCCAGAACAGGACACAACACUCCAAGUGUGGUCUUACCAGUGUUGAGCAUUGAGGAGGGAUCACCUCCCUUGACCUGCUGGCAACACUCCUCAUGCAGCCCAUGACACCAUUCACCUGUAUGAUAUUAAGGCUGCCCUACAUCUUCCUACAUAACAUGAAAUACUCCAGGUGGGAAACUGAAAUUGUAGCAUGAGCAUGUCUUUCUAAGUCCUUUUAUUUUUUUUCCUAUAUCAAUUAUGCAUCAAGAGGAACUGUGCCACUGUAAAUAUACAGAUUAACAAUAAAACACAAAAAUCCUUUUAUUUCUGUCUCCAAAUUCUGACAUACUUUCACAUGAAUUAUUAUUAAUCUUUUCUCUCAUGUAGAGAUGAAAAUUUGAAAAUGUUUAUUCAAACUAGGAAAAAAAAACAUUCUUGAAGAUUGAUGAAAAAUAGCUUUGCAAAGCUCCACCCAUGAGUUAGCUAUUAUCUCCAUCCAUAAGUAGUAAUAUAAGAAUGUACAUUAAAAACAUUUUUCAAUUAAAUACAAGUGACAUAAUAUAAAGCAGUACAACUACCCUGUUACCACUUCAAUCACCAAGAAAAAAGCUGCAGCUAGUGCAGGGAGACCCUUGGAAAUUAUAUAUUUAGGAAUGAUAAUUUUCUACUUAAAUGUUGACAACUUUGAUACUCUUUGCUCUCCACAGAGGCAGUAAGAGAAAUAACAAGAUGUUACGAAAAAGAAAAUCUUUGUUCCACUUGUUGGCAAAACUAGUCCUUUACAAUAAGAAAAUAGCUUGGUUGUGCAACAAGAACUGAGAUCUUAAGUUUUUCCAUCUAAAUUUUAUGAAAAAAAAUAAUUAUCAUAUUAUUUAAAUCAUCAAGUAUAUGACAACUCUGGUCCAGAACAAAUUAUUUUAGCUAUAGAAAUGUUAAGUAUAGCAAUGGAAGAAAGAAAUGUGGAAAAAAGUAAGACUUGCACAGCCAGUUUGUUUGCAUCAGCACAGUAACUGUGGAUCUGUACAGCGGAACAAUUGCUUGCAUGGACCUAAGGUCAUCAUAUUUGCGCAAGUCGGAGUUUAACAGAUUUGCUUUACUUUUUUCACAGCGACUGGACAUCCAUUUUAGUAGUUGAGGUGCACUUGCAACCUCUCCAAGGUUGCCUCCUUCAGCUUUGUUCCGCUGAAGAGGAAUCCAGUUUGCAUGCUCCAAGGCCACUCCACAGCAUGCACCAUCAGUGGGAAUGAUCUGGAGACUCAGUUCUCAGUAGCACACUCCUGACCUGAACCAAAGCACUACUGCAGAUGUACCCACACAGGGCCAAGAAAUCUGGCAGGCCUCAGCAGCCUUCAAAGUUUGAAAAUGAAUUCAACAGCAUCUCUGCAGCAUCACCUCCUGCACUUCCACUCAGCAGGCCCCUGCCAGAGCAGCUUAAAAGUGCAGUUCCUUAUAUGAGAAAUGCUUCCUUUUCCCCGAUGGGCUCCAGUUUCCAUAGGAAAUAUCUUCACUUAUAAAUAGUUUCUGAAUUGCCACGAUGACUCAUAGAGAUGGCAGAUGAGUGAUGACAGUAUUAAUGCUCUGUGGGGCUACCUGAACCACAGGCCGCUCAAGAACAUACAACGACACUCCACAAUCUGGAAGGAAACUAGACAUAACUAGGCCAGCCCAAACAAAUACUAAUACUUCCUUAAUUCUAACCUAAUUCUACGCUUCUAUCCACCACAUGGUUCACUCCAUUUCUCACUCACCACACCAUGUGAGCCAAUGCAAAGAUUACAGCUGGAUGGGCAUGCUGAAUGGCUAGAAAUAUUUUGAUCAUUUACUGUGACUACUGUUUCAGUCAGUUAUUACCUAUAGUUUUUAUUUAAUGCAGUGGAAAAUAUUACCUUCACUGCUGUACAGUUGUAAUGAUGAACUAGUCACGCACCAGUGGCUAUAAGGAAGUGCUCAGCACAAUGCUACGCAGGAAAAUGGGUUCUACUAGAGCCGCAUAAAUGGCAGUUCCACCACACAGGAGCCAAAUGCAGCCAAAAGUGCAAGUACAGAAAAUAACAAGACCCUUCCACGCCCCAGAUGAUUAUUAGUGAAUGGUUGGUGAAGUAACCUCUUUACUCAACCACAGGGUUAGGUAGAAACACAACUCAAAAGGUAAUAACUUUAAGUGAAAAAUGAGAGCAUCUUCUGUGUUGCAGCCUGACACUGGAUCUCCCUAAUCCUGCCUGGAUACAUUACAUCUGAGUAAAGCACACAUCAGCAGUCCAAGGGAACUUUCUCAAGCAGUCUAAAUGAAAGCAGAUUGCUUGCCUCUACAAAAGGGCCUACUGUGUGAAACAAAGGUGGCACAACUCCAGGUGAGGCACGUGCUCCAUUUCCAGGGCUAUUAAACACAUCAUUAGAAAGGACACAUGCUCUUUAGGAAAAGCUUGAGUUCUCCAGGCACUGAACUAGUAGAGCUUUCCCAUUUACCAUGUGUGAACACAAAACCAGAUUUUUUAAACCUUACUGUAAGCUACAUGGUUCCUAUGAAACUGUUAAUUGUGAAAUGUCUGUAAUAACGUGCUUAACCUUGAGCCCAGCAUGAAGUUUGUAGUGGCUGGACAGAGUCCUGAUAGCUUCAAUCACGUUUUGUGAAGAGAUGUGUCAUCAAGGACUUCAUAUUCUAUGUGGACACAUCUUCGUACAGAGCUCAAGACAGGAGCAAAGACUAGAUAUGUGAGCGCAUUCAGCAGACAUAAGUCUGCUAAACCGAUAUGUCAAAGCAUUCAGGCUUCAAUUCUAUCACAGAUGACAGCCAAAUAUAUGCAGGCAUUGCUGCAUUUGCUAGCUUAAGAACAGCAGCAAAACUAACUACUAUUGUUUUAAAACCCGAAGUUUGUAUACCGGGAUUUGGCUCUUCUUAGUGCUCUUCUGGAUUUAAGACCCUGUAAGGGUUAAAAUGCAAUCAAACCAGGAUCCUUUUGGUACUGGCCUUCCCCCCACCUCUCAAUAACAGCACACUGCUAGAAAUACCAAAACUAGAGCAUUACAUUUUUUAGAACUGCCUCUAGCAGUCAUUUAGCAUAAGUAAUGCAACAUGCAUCUUGCAUCAAGAGUUUCCCUGAAAUCUCAGCUUCAUUUUUCAGUGUGGGGGGAGAGGAAUAUGAAAAUGACAGAAGUCUGCUGAAUAACAGACAACCCCACUAGGUCAAAAGCAAGGUUAGACUUCCUGAGGACUCCUCAGAGAAUUCAGCAAGGAAAAUUCCAGUUAUUCUUUUGUUAGCUUACCUGCCUGCUAGGCAACAGAUGGUCAAAAAAUCUGUAUCGAAGUGCCCCCUCCCUCCUACCAGACUACUUUAUUAUGAAUGUUCCCUGAUAGAAAAAACUCUGCCUCAGUAACUAAAAUUUGAUGAAAGAGAAACAUGAAUGGAUUUUAGUAAGGAACAUCUUGUAGUCCUCUGAAUGUCAGAAAACAAGGCAAGGUUUUGCGCUUAUCUUUUGGUAUGGGUUUUUGCUCUGUUAGGUUUAGCAACACACACAUUGCAGCAAUGUUGCCACAAUAAUGGAUUUUUAAAGGAACUGAUCACCAAGAUUUAAAAAAGCAAUCAAAGAAACAGGCUUAUUAAAAAUCUUCUUAAGAACUUCAACAUCAAUUCCAAGGUACUGAAAAAGGUACAAACCUUUCUGCAAUUCUUCCUGGGAUUUACAUCCCAAAACGUUCAAUGUGGAGGAAAAAUAAAUAAAUCUUAACACGGGAAAUGUUUUGGCAGAACAGAGAAUGUGACAUUACUGAAUAGAUUUAGUCACUAUUUUGUACAUGACGGUGAUCUUCUCAUUUCAUAUGUUAAUUUGGCAAAAAGCAUCAUGAUACUUUCACCUUCACAACAGCAUAAGUGAUAUAUCUUGAAAAACAGUAAUACUUCCAGAUUUCAUCUUUAGGUAUGGCAGUCUGCAACAAUGACACCUACACAAAAAUUAAUUUUAGUAGCUUAGGAAUGCAUUUAGCAUUUAAGUGGCAGUGAACCUGUGAAGAUAUGCACAUUCUGAAGAGACAAGCAGAAGAUGGAAACGCUUCUGUCUUGGAAAAGGCCUGGAAUUAUGGUUUCAUUUCGUGCUGCAAUUUUCUCUUUCCCCACCUCCUCUAAUCUUCCUGAAAUGGGAUUUAAAAUUCUAUCAAUUACUUCAGUCUUCCAACACUUGAAAGACCUUGUUUAUGCGCAGUAUACUACAGGGAUGUGCCAGCUGCCACUGCUGAGCCCACCACCUGUGCAGUACAGUACUCAGCUUGAAAAGAACGAGUCUAGUACUGUUUACUGGGAAGAGGCUUCUAAAAAUUGAUAAUGAGCACCUGGUACCAUCCCAAAUGUAUCUUGGGAGGUGUCAAAAGCUUUGAAUGUGUUGCAGUGGCACUUACUGCAGUACUUUCAUCACAUCUAAUUAGUGAAGAAUACCUAUCUAAUCUUGCUAAGUUAUCAUUUCUUGCACUGAAAUGAGCCACAGUUGUUCUUCCUAUCAUCUGGGAAUAAAAAGAAACAGCCAGCUGCAUAUUAGUAUGCUUCCCACCUCUACUCUGAAACAAAAAUUGCUUUAUUGCACAACCAGGAAGAACAGAGCAUGAAAACAGUGAAUGAAACUGGUAUUGUGAGCAGUAAAGAAUUAUCAAGCAGCAUUAAAAAUUAAGCAAUUUCAUGCUGGGAAGUUGAAAACAAAUCCGUAAGGAACAUAUUUCCAUUAAAAUGCAACCUCACAUGGAAGAAAGUAUUAUCUACCAAAUACAACAGGGAAUAGGAAUUUAUACUUCUAAUCUUGCUGCUGAUUUGAUAUGUGGAACUCUGGGAAAUUACUAGCAUCAGCUCCCUCGUUUGGCAGAGGAAGACACACAGUCCUUACAUAUCUUUGCAAUAUGCUUCAGUAUUUCAAACUUAAAUCAGUCAGAUGUGAUAAUACAUUUGCAUGUAAAUAAAUCCUUUCUCCACCUACAGUUUUAAUAACCACUUCCUAGAAAUACAAAGAAUUCAACAAUAUACAGAGCAAAAAAAGAAGCCUAUCAACCCAAGCAGCAGCAAUCAGUGAAUCAACCAACCAAAACAGAGAGAUUAAAGUGCAUCAGUCUCCACUUUCAUGGAAGGUAUAUUCCAUCUGGAAUAUUUAUUUCUAACUUGAAGUUAACAUUUAACACUUCUAAAAUUAAAAGACACAGUUUACAAAGGGGCCAAAGUGAAAUAUUUCUCAGAUGAGGUGGAUUAUUUUAAAUCACAAUCCUUAAUAUGAUGUUUGAUGGUACUCUGCUAUCUGCAUAUAGUCUAGCUAGAUAUACUCACCAUUUUAUGUUCAAAACAGAAUAUUAAUUUGUGAGGCUAAAUGGGGAAAAUACUCUAGCUGUCCUGAGAGCUAGGCUACUGAACCAUAAGCAGAUUUUACAGACAUUGAAUAUUGAAUCAUUCACAUAUUUAGGACAGCCCAUCAUAGCAAACACCAACUGCAGGAACCAUAAACUCAAUUAGUCACAUUGGAAUUGGGAUAGUCAAGAUAAUCGCAACUGUCUAUGCGCUACCAACAAUUAAGAGGAAAGCAAAAGGAAAGAACAGCAUUGUAAUUGCACAUACUAUGAUGAGGAAGCAUAGAUAGCUUUGUUCAACUAGAAAUUAUUUAGAAAUAAAUAGCAACGUAGCGCUUAGAAAGGCAAACUACAGAUACAAUACAUCUGGAUAACAAUAUAAAGAUACCAACAGAGCAACUUCAAUGCUAUGCAGCUUCAAACACCAUACUGCCUGUUCAGAUUAAUGGUAAUUUAUUUUAAAAUGAUGUUUCUUCAGUUUGCUAGCAAAAUGCCUCUUGAGUGGUAUUUCAUGUCUUUAGAAAUUCUUGCAACUAUAGUAUCAAUGAUGACUCCAGAUCUCAUUUCCUUAAGUCCCCAUACCUUAAGGUUGUAUAUGCAUCUGAACCUGCUUAGCAACCACCCAGCCCCCUCCUAUCAGUGCAUUUGCAAAGGACAGUCAGCAAGAAAAAGGCUAGACUGAUGCAACUCGUGACUAAGGGAAGUGAGUUGCUGUAAGCCGGACCCCUCAGACCUCUGUACUCUGUGGGGGAGGAAAAGGUGAUAAACUGGCUGGUAAUCCCAAAAUAAAGGCCUAGCACUGAAAAGUCUGGGUCAGCAAUGACUGACAGCUUGCACAUCUUAUCAAGGGAAGUAUUUCUGUGCAAGCAUCUGGCCCCAGGAACACAUCCAGUUUCUUGUAAUCGUCAGCAAUCAGGACUUAUAAAGUAAUUACAGUAACUGUACAGGAUAGUACGACUGCAUUAGUUCCUCAUUAGUUUCAAAGAUGAUGAAAUUUAUCAUAUAAUACUAAUUAUCUAGUGGGAAAAAAUACAGCUCCCCUCAAGAUGCAUGCAUCUGAGGUACAGCAGAUAGAUUCCUAUCAGGGUGUAGAAAUACUUCAGUGAUGGCAUCUGUAUUAACAAAGAGGAGUCCUGUUAAAUUCUUUCAGUUUUGCUAGCUGUCACUUUAAUCUUGCUUGAAAUAAUGCUUCUUUACAAGCAGCAGUCAGUAAUUGUCAGAUACAUCAUCAGUACAGGAAACAUGUUCUUAGGUUGCCGGCCUCUUUCUUACAUCUGUUGUCAGUUUGGCUGUGCAUUUUGGAUUCUCUCCGUGCUUUCACCAAAUUGUCACACUAGGCAUCUGAUUUAAUCUAAGACAUCCUGCCAAGAAAGAAAAUCCUUUUCCCUUUGUGGGUCUACCCCUAUUACAGUAGUUGUAGCUUACCUAAAAGCAGCAACUCAGAGCAAACUAAUCCCGCAGAAAGUGAUUAUUUUUUUUUCCUAGGCUGAUAAACUGACUUGGCUAACUGUUGUGGUCCAGGAAGCAAUACAUCUAGCACAGGGAAUAAGGUAGGGCCAUAGGGUGGCAGACAGGAGUCCAAGCUGUGCUCCUUCCAGAGGCAGAGUUGCUAUGUAGCUCAGCACAUUUUAUUUUAUUUCACCCUUUAAGGGAUGAGUCUGGGCACAACUAAGCUGAUGUCUCCUUGACUCUUGGAAGAGUCCAGAACAAUGCCUGAGAAGCAACCAGUCACUGAAUUGGGCCUGGUGUCACCUUUUUGGUUUGACUGGUGGCUAGUGUCUUCACCAAGUCUGGAACUCGAGCCAGCUACAAUUCCAAGUAAAGGCUAGGGAAGACCAUCCCUUCCCUUUUUGCGUUGAUGCUACAAAUAGGGAGGCUGGCCCACACUCUCUUUUUUGCUGCUGUUCUAUGCCACUUGGAGCACCAGGGAGGCAGGCCAGGCACUGGAUCCAGGCCUGAUGAUUUUCCUAUCCGCCUUUAUUUCUCUUUUUCCUUUUCCUCUCUCUCUAAAAGUUGUUAAGUAAUGCAAGGCUUACUUGAAUUCAAAACGAACAGCACAGGUAGACAGAAUUGUAGGAAGACCAACGCAUGUAGGAUACCUGUUUUGUAGAAGUGUCCUAUUAAAGUUUAUCUUUUUUCCUCUUAUGUAUGGACCUUGAAUGUUGUUUUACCUUAAUCUAACCAGGGGGAUUUGUAAAUCUGGUCACUCCUCCCUCCCUUUGCAGACAGGACGUGACACACCCUGAACAAACGCUUGGCUAGAUAUAAGGACAGGCAACCAGCACACUAAAGCUGAGCAAACUCUACCUUCUUCCCACAAAGGCUAUUCAUGCAUUUGAUAAGUUAUCUGGGCUGUAAUAGCUGAUAACAGUCUUGUUAUCUGCACUGAGUACACAACGGUACAACCUCCUAGCUGGGAGUGGCAAUACUUUUGUAGUCUCCACUGAAGAUACAGAAGUAUGUACUGCGAACUGAUAUGGUGUCUCUAAGUCCUUGUUCAAGUAGCUGCAGUUUUCACUAAUACUACUAAACAGGAAAAGUAUUACUGACAAAAACAAAACAAACAAACUCAAUAACAACAACAAAAACCCACAACCAUCCAAAGCAAGAAAAUGAAGUCAUGAGGAAGCGUAUCUGCACGACAGAAAAAAUGAUGAAAGUGCUCUAGAAAGUAAAGCAGUUCUUGGAUGCAAAUGCUUCUGUAUCUACUGAUAAAAGAUGGCUCAGAAACAUCAGAGAUUAUCACCUUCUCCCUCAUGACAUCUAAGGCCAUGGCAUAAUGCAAAGCUAAAAUCUGGAACAUUGUAAACUGAUGUUUGUGUUAAGAGAGUUCCUGGUUUUGGCUGAGAUUCAUUACUAGUAACAACUUCUAGUGUGAAUGAUGUUUUCCUCUAAGCAGUGUGCUAAACUGUCAGGCACCAGUUACCCCAGAAAGCUUGACCUGAAGAUGCAAUUGGCUUCAACUAGUACAAACAGCUGCACCGAAAGGUCUAAGAGACAAAUCUUUAUUUUUGCACUACAGAUAGUUGGAAUAUAAAUAAAUAACUCCAUAAGAAAGUAAGGCAGGAGACUGCCCUAUCCUCAGAUUUUCUCUUAUCAACAUGAGUUGCUGAUUCACAGAACACAACAUCAUACAUUUUUGCACGUUGUUUGUUUGCCUAAUGGGAGUUGCAGUAAUGGACUAGAGGAAAGGCUGGGGGUGAGGAUUUCUCAAAAGACAUUGUUUAACUCACCUAAGUGUAUUAGCAUCUCUUACAUAACAGAGCUUCAUUACCAAAUGCUAACUAUUCAGAUGAUCGACAGCAUUUUACAUUCCUUUCUGGGCAUCAUUCUAACACUUUCCUGUGACAACUUUCAAAUUGUAAAAACACAUCUUUGAGUUUUUGCCAUCUUGGAAUACUGAUGCAACAGUACAGCAAAGUUAAAAUAUGACUGUGAAAAUAUGUUCCAAGACAUGCUACAAAGUAUUUAAAAUGCAAUUGCUCCUUAAUAGAUCAUACAGCCUGAAGCUUCCAAAAUUCUAGGAGAAAUAAAGUUAUCCAGUUUGACUUUGGGUUUUCUCAUUUGCUGUAGGCUUCAACAGGAAAGGCCUAUGCCUCUCUUGUAGAAUAUGCGGUUGGUUAAUAGCUACUUAAAUAAUACAGAGAGUAGAGAUCUCAUGGCUUUUUCAUGUUAAUCUUAAAUACAAGAAAUCUCUAUGGCUUUUCUCACCCUUUUAUGAAAUUACACAUACAGGUUUGUACACACAGCUGUUUUCCACUACAGCUUUCUUUAAAGCUAUGAACCCUCGGAUCCCAGCCUACUACUAGAGAACAGGCAAAAUUAUAAUUUUAGCCUUGCCUUUGCAUUUGGUUACUCUGAAGGAACAAAACCCUUUUCAAACAAUAUAAUAAACAAAGGAAGGCACACACUCUAGCUUGUCUCUGGACUUUGGCACUACUAUGUAUUGUAUGUUGCAAUGUCUGAGCCUGGCAAUCAUGUAUCAUAUUUAAAAUGUGUUCACAGAGUUCCUUGUAGGUUUAAAAUAACAAAGUAAAAGUCCAGCUGUCACAUAAGAGAUAAUUCAGUACAAGCUUUAAGAUAAAAGCAUACACAAGUCCCACUCAGUUCAGUGCUGCCAUCAUCUGAAGUCUUCUGUUACUUUUGUACCUUCUUGCUGAGAAAUCAUCUUGCAUUUUAAACCAAUUACAUAUCUAACACUUGCAUGUAACAAAAAGGGAAAAGAAAUUUGUGAAACAGUAAAUUUUACAAUCAUUGUUGUCCGGCUGCCUCCUUUUUCCUUGACAUAGGAGAGUUUUGCCCUACAAUUCUGUAUCUCACUUAGCUUCAGGAUACUCAUGAGUCACAUUUAGGCACAUUACAACAGAAAGGAAGAUGCAAAAGCAGACAAGCACUUGUGACAGAAUUCCAAGAGGCUUAGCAACUGGGAGUUUUCUGUAGAUCAAACUAUUUUUCUCUCCCAACAGUAUGAAAGAUAAACCCUAUGCUCAUGCUUUUAGUCUCACUGCAUGUUUCUGUAAGAAAAGCCUGGCGUACAGCUUCUGCCAAUGCUGCAGGAAAUAUUUAAGCUGAAUCAGACGUGUAGUUUUUUAUUUUAAUGGCAUGCUAUCACAUCAAUACCAACUAAAUGCAGCUUCUUUACUGUAACCACUGAAAAAUAUUCAACAUCUAAAUAAAAUAUUUUUGUAUUGAUUUGAGAAAAGGAUUUCCUUUAUACUCAUCUCAAGGUAAUACAGUCAGCAAUGCCAUAUAGCCAGUACAACAAAGAAACAAGGUCCCAAAAUAUAAGUGCUUCCUGAUGCAAGCUUUCAUUUGUAAAAGGUAGAGCCCUCAAGUUAGAUUCAUCUAUUCUUAGGAUUAAGUUUCUGCUUACAAAAAAUAAUAAUAAUUACAGUGAAUUUUUUCAUGGUACAACGUAUUACUCAACUCUGCCAUUUCAGUAUUUCUUUUCCCUGGAACUAAGACAAACUUUUAGAUUCUUAGAAACAGUGAUGCAGAUUUUAUAAAAGAACUUAAGGUUACUUAACUGAUUUGAUUAAAAUGCUCCUUAAAUAACUAAAAGACAUGGAAGCAAGUACUCAGGUACUACAUGCAGGAUGAAACUCAGAAGUACAUUUUAGCCUUUUCCUUUUAGCUUCUGAGGUUAUUUUCAGCAUUUUCAGAAAAUACAUUCCAUAUGCAGAACAUGAAAUGCAAAUAGGGAGCAAGAGAUGACAAAGUCCCAUUCUCGCGGCAUCAGUUCUCUCAAGGUCGUGUUUGUAAUGGUAUUAAACUCUGCUUGAAAACAUUCUGCAUAUAAGCCACUCCAUAGGUUUUUGUUCCGUAGUAGACAGUAAAAGGAUGCACAAAGUCUCUACUCUGUGUAAGUUUAACAUCAGCCCAAACUCAUGAUUUUAAAGAGAAAGAUAAGAAAGAGAGAAAGAUAAGGAAGUCGCUAUUGAAGUUUCUGCUGGUACACAGCAUGCAACUUUGGCGCAGGGCAUAGCCUCACUUUCUCUCACACUAACAGAGUGGUGUGGAGACUACCGGGUUGGUCUGCUCUGCUGGUGAAACCUGUUUCCCAGCCCAGCCUCACGCCUCUGCUGCUGUCAGGGAGCACUACCUAAGCACACUCCUUGCUUCCGCAUCUGUAUUGCGCCAAAGACUCAGAGGUACUGUGAUACCUUCUGAAACUAAUUAAGCUACUGGUAUGAAAAGUCAGUUGAGAACACAAGCCAUGGUAAUACUGAUGACGCACCAGCUGGAAAACUCACCAGUUUCACGUCUGUGCUUUAGUGACAGCUGGGACACCACUUGGAUUGACAUGAGGGCUCCCUCCGAGUUUUCAUCCUCUUUUUGGAGAGGAAUGUGCAUCUUCUUUCCAGUGGAAAGAAAAUUCACACAUUCUUGCAAAAGCCAAUCUGAUACUUCUCUGAAGCAAAGCCACUUGAAAAGCUUUCCUUCAUUUGUUUCUUUCUUUUCCAGUUUUCAAUUACAUCACAUUUUCUGUCCUUUAAGAAAUGCAAUCUUAUAAAAAAUUUUAGCUAGGUUCUUAGGUGGAAAAGCAGCAGACAUCAGGGUCUGCUGGGUCAUCACCAGUAACUAUGCUAGAGUUGUAAUUAAAUGUUGUACAAAUAUCAUAACCUUUAAGCAGCUGAUGUCAGGUCCAGAAACACAGUUGGAAUUUAGGCAGCUAACUCUUGAAGCAUUUUUUAUGGCUGCUUUCUACUCCUGAAGGCAUGAAUAGUCACCCAGGUAUCCCAAUUUUUCUCAAAUUGGGAAGAUUCCAUUUUUGUACAUGCCGAGAAACACCAUGGUCUUCAUAUGGUUUAGCAGCUUGUGGCCUACUUUAUAAUUAACCUGGAGCAGGGGCUCAACCAGGAAUUUCUCCCUGGACUGUGCUGUUCUAUAAAAAAAAAAGUAUAGAUUAUUAAAAAGAUGAUGCAGUGGAUCAAAAUGAAACAGAGAACAAAAAACAGCCAACAGACUGAAAAAAAUAUGGAUUUCAAAGAAUGGCUAUUUUAAGCUAUAUACAUGUGAAAGUGAAAAUCCUAUUUGGGAAUGAUUAGGAACUGUGGGAUUUGAUUAUUAACUGUAUGCACGUUAGAAGCCCUGCUCUGAAGGCGUACAUAACUUUUACCUUAGGAUUCAAUUUCGAGAUGUCAGCAGAAUGCUACUAAAAACUCCAACUUUGCAAAAAGAUUACAAACUUUUUAAUGAAAGGCAGAUUUUUGGAGAGAUUACUCUUCCUUUCAAGAUGUAAAUAUCACAGAACAAACUAAAACCAAACAGAGUAAUAAACAGAAAUAAUAAGAUAACAUGGCUUCUGGUUACUAUCUGUGAUAAACAGCAAAUAAUUUUAACACAGCAGAAAAAGGGAAAUAACAAAAUUAGCAUUUACAAAAAAAUCAAUUAACAAGCCCAGGGUAGAAUACCAUCAACUCAGUCCUGACCCCAGUUGCACUGUGUAUCAAACUAAGUUCAACGGACUGCUUCAUUGAUUUAUUUUUUUUCUGUCCUGAAGAGGAAAAAUGACCUUAGACCUGACACGGAAGGAUGAGAGAGGCAGUAGCAUGUUCUUCCAGUGUGGAGAGCUGCUGGACUAGCUCCUCACCACUAGGAUGAGAGCAAGGCAGGCAGCACAGCAGGAUGCAGAAGUGAGGACAGAGCAGGUAAGAGCAGUGCUCCAUCCAUCACCAGACACCACUGCUCUGAACAACAACGCAGUAAUGCUAUUCCAUAGCUUCUCUGGUUUCUGCCAGGAGAUGGGCUGUACUAUUCAUUGGCCUGUAAAGCACAAACACUGGAUUAGAGCUAGCGUUGCCACCCUUUAUUUCAGCAAUUACAAACUGAUGGCUGUGGUCACAUGAGAAACCAGCAACUGCCAGCCUGCAUGAGAGGACAAACCCGGAUUUCCUCUCUGCUACUUUCUAUGUCAGCAGAGAACACAAGAGCCUUGUCCCAGGCACACAAGAGGUAACACAACCAAGCUACUGGCUGGAACUGUCAUCUCUGCUUCAUAAGACAUACAGUGGUAGUCUUUUUUUCUCUUCUUCCUCAAGAGAGGAGAAAGCCAUUAGUUCAAAUCCUUGUCCUGAGAAGAGCAUAAAGCAGACCUCACCUUAAAACUCUCUUACACCCCAGAUGAAAGCAGCUUAACUCUGGGGGCGGACUGGAAUACGGCAGCAGCAAGUCUGGAGCUGCUUUGCGGUCAAUAAAAAUGGAAAUGUACCCCAAGAGGAGAGCAGACAGACAGACAGACUGACUCUUUCACUUUGUGCAUGACUACUGAAGCUAUGAAGUGGGACUGGAUGCCACGCCUGAUUCCGGGACCGUCUCUUGGUCAAUGUGUAAGGAGACAGCCACACCAAGCAACUAUGGCUUAUCCUACAGUGCCUGCUAACAUCAAGCCAUUCUACAGGGGUGUGGGUUCCAAUCCCUCCAAGCGAAGGAGGGAAAAAGAAUGCGGUUUCCUCACAUCCUAAAUCAACAUCCAAACAGUCAGCACACUGAAUGUAAGCCUGCUUUGGCAUCUUUCUCGACUUACCUCUUCAUUUCCUUUACUUUCCUUACAAGCGCUCCAGUAUAAAGAACAUUCUACCACGCAUCACAGCACAAUCUAGCAUUGUCUCCUACAGCAUCUCGAGCAAACCACAUUUUCCUGUGAGUGCUGUUGCUAAGUAACUAACUACUCUUACAAGAGAAACCCAGUUCCCUCCCAAAGUUUGGCAUCCCCGCCCUGGUGAGUAGCUGCAAUUUACCACAGGUAUUUAAAUGAUCCACAAGUGCUACACACGGGAGCAGCACAAGGAUGCUUCAGUUUUCCACUGCAGACAGAGAUAAUCCAGUUUAAACCAUCAUAAAAAGUUUGGAUUUUUACACACAAGAGGAAUCAGAGGCGGUUUCGAGGCAGUCACUGCUACCGCCUGCUGAAGCCUCAGCCCCAGCCCACAUCAGGGCACUGCAUUAAGCAGCUUGUGGCUGUCCUGGGGCAGUCCGCACACACAGCCCGCAUGAAUUUCUUCCAAGUAAUAAUUUACCUUACUGUUUUUAUUUUACAAAUGCCCUUCAUUGAAGAAUAUUUCAGAAUUCUUAACUGGCUUUAUCAUCUUCAGGGAUUUUUUUCUAGUUAGUAUGAAGCCAAUGCACAUAAAACGAAUGGCAGGGAACAAGAAGUGGAGUUGGGGGUGCUGAGAUUAAACAGUUUCCCUAUAUGUAUCACAUAGAAAACUAAAAGGCUGCAAGAUAAAUGCACGCAGAGGACAGAACUUAUUUACAUGAUGAAUGGCAAAUUCCAUCAGCUGAAUCUCAGAAACAACGCAGUGCUCCUUGCAAUUUCAUAUUGCUUCUCCUAGCUCAGAAACAUGGUACCAUCAGUUGGUACCACCAGAAUCAGCCCCCUUUUCUACAUUUGUCAAAAAACAUUUUACCUUUUUGUUUAAUAAAAACUCUUUGUAAUAAGCAAA